GAAGAAGCGCAUACGGUGGAUGCCUUGGCAGUCAGAGGCGAUGAAAGACGUGGUAGCCUGCGAAAAGCUUCGGGGAGUCGGCAAACAGACUUUGAUCCGGAGAUGUCUGAAUGGGGGAACCCAGCCAUCAUAAGAUGGUUAUCUUGUACUGAAUACAUAGGUGCAAGAGGCGAACCAGGGGAACUGAAACAUCUAAGUACCCUGAGGAAAAGAAAUCAACCGAGAUUCCCUUAGUAGUGGCGAGCGAACGGGGACUAGCCCUUAAGUGGCUUUGAGAUUAGCGGAACGCUCUGGAAAGUGCGGCCAUAGUGGGUGAUAGCCCUGUACGCGAAAAUCUCUUAGUCAUGAAAUCGAGUAGGACGGAGCACGAGAAACUUUGUCUGAAUAUGGGGGGACCAUCCUCCAAGGCUAAAUACUACUGACUGACCGAUAGUGAACUAGUACCGUGAGGGAAAGGCGAAAAGAACCCCGGAGAGGGGAGUGAAAUAGAUCCUGAAACCGUAUGCGUACAAGCAGUGGGAGCCCACUUUGUUGUGUGACUGCGUACCUUUUGUAUAAUGGGUCAGCGACUUAUUUUCAGUGGCGAGCUUAACCGAAUAGGGGAGGCGUAGCGAAAGCGAGUCUUAAUAGGGCGUCUAGUCGCUGGGAAUAGACCCGAAACCGGGCGAUCUAUCCAUGGGCAGGUUGAAGGUUGGGUAACACUAACUGGAGGACCGAACCGACUACCAAACCGAUGC
rnacentral:rRNA from 1 species